UGCCUGGCGGCACUAGCGCGGUGGUCCCACCUGACCCCAUGCCGAACUCAGAAGUGAAACGCCGUAGCGCCGAUGGUAGUGUGGGGUCUCCCCAUGCGAGAGUAGGGAACUGCCAGGCUUU
rnacentral:rRNA from 1 species